AACGAACGCUGGCGGCAUGCCUAACACAUGCAAGUCGAACGAAGCCUUCGGGCUUAGUGGCGCACGGGUGCGUAACGCGUGGGAAUCUGCCCUUUGGUUCGGAAUAACAGUUGGAAACGACUGCUAAUGCCGGAUGAUGACGAAAGUCCAAAGAUUUAUCGCCAGAGGAUGAGCCCGCGUAGGAUAAGCUAGUUGUGGGGGUAAAGGCACACCAAGGCGACGAUCCUUCGCUGGUCUGAGAGGAUGAUCAGCCACACUGGGACUGAGACAAGGCCCAGACUCCUACGGGAGGCAGCAGUGGGGAAUAUUGGACAAUGGGCGAAAGCCUGAUCCAGCAAUGCCGCGUGAGUGAUGAAGGCCCUAGGGUUGUAAAGCUCUUUUACCCGGGAUGAUAAUGACAGUACCGGGAGAAUAAGCCCCGGCUAACUCCGUGCCAGCAGCCGCCGUAA
rnacentral:rRNA from 1 species